rnacentral:rRNA from 1 species
UGGGGAAUAUUGCACAAUGGGGGAAACCCUGAUGCAGCGACGCCGCGUGAGCGAAGAAGUAUUUCGGUAUGUAAAGCUCUAUCAGCAGGGAAGAAAAUGACGGUACCUGACUAAGAAGCCCCGGCUAAAUACGUGCCAGCAGCCGCGGUAAUACGUAUGGGGCAAGCGUUAUCCGGAUUUACUGGGUGUAAAGGGAGCGCAGGCGGCUUGGCAAGUCUGAUGUGAAAGGCUGGGGCUCAACCCCAGGACUGCAUUGGAAACUGUUAGGCUAGAGUGUCGGAGAGGUAAGCGGAAUUCCUAGUG